CACCAAUAUACUUCAGAGAAGAUGAUGGGCAUUGAAGAAACUUCAUAUGGAGUUUGUUUUCUUUAUGGCAAAAGCUAGCCAUGUGGGCAAAAAAACUGUCCUUGCUUCAACUGCUGACAGUUACUGUCCAAACUGGACCAGCAGGAUGCAAAAAAGGUGACUGCUGAACUUUGCCAAGACAAGAUACCAGCCAAAAGCUUAAGUAUGCGUUUCCUGUUGUCCUGGGCUUUUCCUCUUUCUCUAGAUGUCCCCUCCUGCUUCCUACAGCAGCUUGCUGAUCUCCAUGCCUGAUUUAAAAAGCAUGACUUUCUCUGUUCUCAGUCUCCCAUCUCCUGGUGGCUGCCAGGAUUUUCAGCUUGCCUGCCCUGUUGUUUUUCACUCAAAAUCUAAUAAAAUGGUCCUGAAGCCAUCUUC